rnacentral:rRNA from 1 species
GAGCCGGCACCGUCUGGGCGAAAGGGAAUCCGGUUCCUAUUCCGGAACCCGGCCGCGGAACCGCUCCAAUUCGGGCCCUCAUCCGAGGACUCGUCGGGGUGACCCGAAAUGACCCGGAGAAGCCGUAGGGAGGUCCGGGGAGAGUUGUCUCUUCUCUAUAAGCGUUCGAGUUCCCUGGAAGCCUCUAGGAGGGAGAUAGGGUUUGGAACGCGAAGAGCACCGCACUUACGGCGGUGUCCGGAUCUUCCCCUCGGACCUUGAAAAUCCGGGCGAGGGCCACGAGGAACACCGCGCCGGCUCGUACCCAUAUCCGCAGCAGGUCUCCAAGGUGAAUAGCCUCUAGUCGAUAGAAUAAUGUAGGUAAGGGAAGUCGGCAAACCCGAUCUGUAACUUCGGGAUAAGGAUUGGCUCUGAGGAUCGUGGCGCGCCGGGCUUGGUCGGGAAGUGGAGCGGUGCCAACGUGCCGGGCCUGGGCGAGGCGAAGGCAGUUCUCGGACUGCCGGACCCUAGCUCGGUCCCGUGCCUUGGCCACCCACGGACCUUCCUUGCUGCGAGCCUCCCGGCUGUCUAGUUUCCGGCCCAGCCGGAGGACGGGCCGGAAGGCUCUUCGGCCGCCAUAGAACGAUCAACUUAGAACUGGCACGGACUAGGGGAAUCCGACUGUCUAAUUAAAACAAAGCAUUGCGAUGGCCCCAAGGGGUGAUGACGCAAUGUGAUUUCUGCCCAGUGCUCUGAAUGUCAACGUGAAGAAAUUCAAGCAAGCGCGGGUAAACGGCGGGA